rnacentral:rRNA from 1 species
UGGGGAAUUUUGGGCAAUGGGGGAAACCCUGACCCAGCAACGCCGCGUGAAGGAUGAAGUAUUUCGGUAUGUAAACUUCGAAAGAAUAGGAAGAAUAAAUGACGGUACUAUUUAUAAGGUCCGGCUAACUACGUGCCAGCAGCCGCGGUAAUACGUAGGGACCAAGCGUUGUUCGGAUUUACUGGGCGUAAAGGGCGCGUAGGCGGCAUGACAAGUCACUUGUGAAAUCUCUGGGCUUAACCCAGAACGGCCAAGUGAUACUGUCGCGCUAGAGUGCAGAAGGGGCAAUCGGAAUUCUUGGUGUAGCGGUGAAAUGCGUAGAUAUCAAGAGGAACACCUGAGGUGAAGACGGGUUGCUGGGCUGACACUGACGCUGAGGCGCGAAAGCCAGGGGAGCAAACGGGAUUAGAUACCCCAGUAGUCCCUGAG